rnacentral:misc_RNA from 1 species
CUCAUUAGUUAUAUGUGAUUUCUGGGCAGGGCUCAAGCUUAACAGCUAAAUCGUAUAGAGGAAUUUGUAAUGAACAAACUCCAGUUGUAGUCACACUGAAGACAAGGAUGAAUUCGCAGCUCGAAGAGAACACAUCGCGAUUAAGUUUUUGAAUUGGGAGCCUUUUUUUUACUUUAAGCUAAAAUAAUAGUUUGUUUGACUAUGUUGGACACCAUGUUGUUGCUGGGAAAGCGAAGAGAGCACAGCGGCAGGACCCGAAUAUUCUAACAACAAUACUUAAUCUAAGGCUUAAAGUUUUGUGACAAAAACAUUUACCCCAAGACCACGGCUACGCCCACAAAAUAACACAUAGCAAAAAUGUUUUUAACGCCC